UACACACCGCCCGUCACACCAUGGGAGUGGGUUCCACCAGAAGUAGGUAGCCUAACCGCAAGGAGGCGCUUACCACGGUGAGAUCAUGACUGGGGUG
rnacentral:rRNA from 1 species